AUGUCCCUCUGUCCUUCCACAGGCUACCACCAGCUUCCUCCAGCUGCUGGGGGACAGGAGGCCGAUGUCAGAAAAAUACACAAGGAAUCUGCUACCCACUGUGUUAGACCAGUGGACUGCACCAGCAGGAGACCUACGGGCAGAAGCUGGGCAGUUGGAGCACUUCCAGGAGCAGGGAUCAGGUACAAAAGUAGCAAGUUGACCCCAAAUGGGCAUCAGGUUGAGAAAGCAGUUUCCGCUCAGGUUGGAGAUGCCCCAUGCGCACCUCGGAAGAACGAGCUGGUGAGUAGCACCGCUGGGGAGAUGCGUCCACACACGCUAUCCCGUGGACGGGCUCUCAGGGAGCAAUCACACCGCUGUCACAGAAGGAACCCACGUACGCUGCUGUUACGUCAACAGCCAGACAGAGGGAGACCCAAAGCCCAGCACAGCACCGAUGGGUCCAGAAGAGACAAGUGCAUACAGAAUCAGUACAGGUCUGGAGUUGGGGUCACAGACCGGGCUCAUGCAGAACAAGCCCAAGUGCUUGGUUCACAUCUCUCGUCUGGGUCCUUGUGAGUGAACUGAGACUGCUGGAUUGAGGGCUUUUAAUCUGUGACACCUGAGACCUGCUAAAACUAUGCAAACUUUGGGAUAUAUUUGCAUGUAUUAUUUUUGUUUUUGACAGGCAGAGUUAGACAGUGAGAGAGAGAGACAGAGAGAAAGGUCUUCCUUUUUCCGUUGGUUCAUCCCCCAAGUGGCCACUACAGCCAGUGUGCCAUGGCCAGUGCUGCACUGAUCUGAAACCAGGAGCCAGGUGCUUCCUCCUGGUCUCCCAUGGGGUGCAGGGCCCGAGGACCUGGGCCAUCCUCCACUGCCUUCCUGGGCCACAGCAGAGAGCUGGACUGGAAGAGGAGCAACUGGGAUAGAAUCCGGCACCCCAACUGGGACUAGAACCUGGGGUGCUGGCACCGUAGGCGGAGGAUUAGCCUAGUGAGCCGCGGCACUGGCCUUGCAUGUAUUAUUUUUAACAUAUAUUUGUUUUAUUUGAAUGGCAGACAGUCAGACAGGAAUCUCUGACCCACUGAGUGGUUUAUUCCCCAACUGCAUGCUACAUCCAGGGCUGGAGAGAGCCGAACCACAAGCCAGGAACUCAAUCUGUGCCUCCCAUGUGGGUUGCAGAGACCCAACUACUUGAGUUGUCACUUGCUGCUCCCAGGGUACGCAAGAGCAGGAAGCUAGAGUCAAGAGCAGAGCUGGGGCCUGAAUCCGGGAAUUCUGAUACGGAAUGUGGGCGUCCGAGCAGUGGUUUAGCUGAUGCACCAACAGCCAGCCCUUUGAUUUCUUUUUCCUAUGGAAAGGAGUCACAGUUUUCGUGAGAAACAAAGUUGAGAACAUGAGACUACAUGAUGUCCUAUGAUUGCUUUAGCUCUAACAUUUGAUGGCCCUAUUGCAACUUCUUGUCAAUAUAAUGGUGUGAUGAGAAGAAUGUAUAAUAUAGUCUCAUAAAACAAUGAAAGUUUUUUAGUGUGAGUAUUACUAUAUAGUUGGUCUUCAAUAAAAAUAUAUGAAUCUGAGCUGUAUCUUCUUCC
ensembl:lncRNA